UCGAACGAUGAACCACUUCGGUGGGGAUUAGUGGCGAACGGGUGAGUAACACGUGGGCAAUCUGCCCUGCACUCUGGGACAAGCCCUGGAAACGGGGUCUAAUACCGGAUACUGAUUGUCUUGGGCAUCCUUGAUGAUCGAAAGCUCCGGCGGUGCAGGAUGAGCCCGCGGCCUAUCAGCUUGUUGGUGAGGUAACGGCUCACCAAGGCGACGACGGGUAGCCGGCCUGAGAGGGCGACCGGCCACACUGGGACUGAGACACGGCCCAGACUCCUACGGGAGGCAGCAGUGGGGAAUAUUGCACAAUGGGCGAAAGCCUGAUGCAGCGACGCCGCGUGAGGGAUGACGGCCUUCGGGUUGUAAACCUCUUUCAGCAGGGAAGAAGCGAAAGUGACGGUACCUGCAGAAGAAGCGCCGGCUAACUACGUGCCAGCAGCCGCGGUAAUACGUAGGGCGCAAGCGUUGUCCGGAAUUAUUGGGCGUAAAGAGCUCGUAGGCGGCUUGUCACGUCGGAUGUGAAAGCCCGGGGCUUAACCCCGGGUCUGCAUUCGAUACGGGCAGGCUAGAGUUCGGUAGGGGAGAUCGGAAUUCCUGGUGUAGCGGUGAAAUGCGCAGAUAUCAGGAGGAACACCGGUGGCGAAGGCGGAUCUCUGGGCCGAUACUGACGCUGAGGAGCGAAAGCGUGGGGAGCGAACAGGAUU
rnacentral:rRNA from 1 species